CUUUAUCUUUUUUUUGAGUUCUAGUAGCUUGGUUUCUGUAGCUUCUGUGGUUAUGAUUUCGUUUACUUGCAAAACACUGAAAGAGGUGAAAGAGUGUAUUUAAAAUCCAUUGUAAUAGAUGGAAAUUUUCUCUUGAUUUUGUUUAAGUUUGAAAUGUUAUGUUGUUGUACGCUUCUCUCCCUUUCCAGGUAGCCUAUAGCAUAGAUUCAUCAAUUAAAAUAAUUGUUGAAGAAACUACUGUGUGCAUACAACUGACAGUAAACUCCUAACUGCACUAUUUCCCUCAUUUAGAUAACUGCUCUGAUUCCAGGUUUUAACUUAAUAUUUUAUUUUGACUGGCCUUAUUUCAUACUUUUUUCAUGUUUCCUUCUUAGAGAUGUUAUGUGUAACAUGAUGUACAUUGAGGUGACAUUUUGCUUCAUUUCAAAGGGUGAAUGAAAUUUUCUUUUGAUCCCAAGUCUUUGUCCUGCCAUGUGUUACCCAGUAGAGCUUUUCUGUCCAUCGUUGCUUUCCAUGUAUAAAGUUAAUAUGAUUCAUUUCUUUGGUGACUUUUCAGGCUUUUUUUUAUCCUUAUUGAUGGAGAUGAGUAAGGUUGUAGGCAUCUUUCCAGAUGUGUUGCAUGGGUCUCCUACAAUACCAUCUGCUUGGUUUGCUGUUCUAGCAGUGAUAGUGUAUCAGUAAACCUUGCUGGAUUUGCUGGACUUAUUCCAUCCAGAUAUGAUGCUACUCCAUGUGAUCCAGGGAGAAGUUAAGAGCAUAAAAAUCAGCAACAGCAGGAGUAGUGAAUAUACUUCAACUGAGAAUAAGAAUUUCAGCGUAAACUUACAACUGUUCCUGCAGACCUCUCCUCCUGAAUCCUGACUGUGUCUGUACAACUACUCAAAAACAGAGAAAAUGGCCCAGUUCCUUUGAUAACAAAUAUCAGUGCUGACUGAUGUAGGCCAAGAAAUACACCUCCUGCCUCUGGAACUGAAUGCUUCUAUUCUUGUUCCUGCAGUUGUGUUAUGCUGAUUACACAUUUGUCAUCCCAUACCUGCUUAGCAGUUUAGCUUUCUAUGAAUCUUCACCCUACAAGUGGACUAAAUGUUAUCUCAGGGAUGUGAAAACUGAUGCUGAGGGAAGUUAUCCUCUGCCCAAGGCUGUAGAGUUAUUCAGCAACUCAUUGUGAACACCAGUGACUCAUGAAGAAUGUCCCCAGAUUCUUGUUUUCUGGUCCAUUAUCACAUUGUUUUACACAGAUAAUCGUGUUGCUUGGAUUAAGUGACUGCUCAAGGGCUUAGCCUUUGCCUUUGUCAUAUACAGUUUGUAAAGUAUUCAGGAAAAUCCCAAUGUUGACACAACUCACUGUUUCAAAAUUUUAGUGUUGGGUCAAGUGCAAGAAACACUUCAAAUAGAUCAUUAUAGUAUUUAGUAUCAGAGACACACGAAAUACAGGUGUUUGAGGAGGAGUGUAAUGAUUUGCUUUGCAUUUCAAAAUGGACUUCUUUCUUUUUGUGCAUUCCAACAUAUCCUGAAGAAUAAUAGAGAGAGACAUCACUGCAGCCACCUCUUCAGCUGGCCAAAAGUUCCUGUUUGAGACUGCACCUGACAGAGUUUGUCAUUGCUAAAGAGGCUCUUUCCAUUCCGUGGAAAGAGGGCCUCUCCAGACCCUCCUUUACCUCUGUGCCCACACCUUGCUGUUAUCUGAGCACUGUUGAAGGAACUUAUCACCAGUGCACCCAUUCCUCCAUAAGUUAUUUGUGACCAUGGUUCCCUGAUGUUGAAAGUUGAAGAAAGAAAACAUCUUGUCUGGUGAUGGCUCAGCUUGAUCCUGCUGCUGCAGAAGUCCCUGAAGAAAUGCUGAUCUCUUAUUUCAGAUUGCUGACUAAAACUUGGCCCUGUAGCUCCACAGCACAGGCCUGACCUUCUUGCUGCUGUAGUUCUGUUGAGACUGAUGUCUCCUAGCUGGAAAAGCUGCUGCUGUGGGCCCAGAAAGACUGAAAGGAGAUGGGUUUGUGUGGUCCAAGAGGUCCUGCUGAGAUAAAAGCUCUGGCUGGGCUCCUCCAGAGAACACGUGGCGACCGUCCCCCCUCCAGGCAGAGUUUCACCUUGGGUGAUAAAACCUUGUUUUAUCUCCUGAGGUGAGCCUGUGAAAUAAUGGUGAAGGGAGCAGUGUUGGUGGGGGAAUAUGCUGGAUAAAACAUCAAUUUUAAGUGAUUUUUCAAGGAAUCUUUUGUCCUCCACAGUUAAAAACAGUCACAGCUGACAAUAAGAAACCUUUCAAAACUCAAAAAUCAGUGGUUUCAGUCCUGUGUUCUUCACAAAAAUGUUUUCUGCAGCAGUUUUCACUAGGGUGUUACCCUGUUUUUCUUCCAGCCUCCAGAAGUGCAUGGAGUGUUAUUGUAGACCUACAAAACAAGUUCUAGGCUCAGACCACUGUUUUGUUCCAAGUGAGGAUUAACUCUGUUAUUCUGUUUUGGAGAUGAAAGUACAGUUUCAUUCCAUUCCUGAUCUCAUGCAUUCCCCAGCUGCAUUGUUGUGUGAGGACUUGCCAUUGGCAAGCCAUGAAAAUAGAAACCAUCCAUAUUUCAUUGACUAUUCAUUCAGGCUGUAUCCAGUACUUCUUUUGCCUGUGUUUUCCAGUGUCCUGCUGGAGGGAAGAUCAAUCACAGGCAUGUUUUAGUCUGUGAUAUUCCUAGUUUUAUAAUGAUCUUGCUUUCAAUUUGGAUAUUGUAAAAUUGCCCCCUUAGGCUGCUUUGUCUGCAUCUACAGCUCUGCUCUUUUGUGGAAGGGCCAAGCUCCCUCCAACAGAUGGUGUGUUAUUCUACAGCUAAAGCACGUUCUUAUGUGCUAAACUUCAGGUGUCUCUGCUUUUUGGAGCAAAAAGACCCAGAGCUCUCAGUGUGCUAAAGAUAUAGUGUGUAGGUCUGAACUUUGACACAGGAGGGCUAGAAAAGCAGGAAUGCACAAGGUUGAUGUAAUAUUCCAAUUCUAUUGAGAGCCUGCUUAUGGCAGCAAAAUCCUCAGCGUCCCUUUGACUUGCCAGUGCCUCUGGUGUUCACACUGCACUGAACAUCACAGUAACUAAGGCUUCUCCAGGCUUGGCCCACAGUUUGCAGUGUUAUCUGUCACAGAGGGAACAGACCCAAGGGAAAUGAGCAUUGUUACUCAGUCCCACAAAAUGCUCCUCCUGUGUCUGAGUUGAGCAUCCCCAAUUGGAGCUCCUUGUCCUGCCUGACAGUGCUGUAUCCUGGCUUGGAUGUGGCUUGGAAAGCCUUAAUUAUUACUGCUUUAAUCCCCUUGCUUAUGAAAAAACUUGAAGUUCGUGUUCAGUUUUAGAUAUUGUGCAAUAUAUUCAACUGACAAAAAAAAAAAAGGCAAAACAAGAAAACCCCAACCUUGAGCCAUUUGGAGAGGCAGUUUUUCCAGCUAAGCUGCAGGCUAUUAGAUUGCACAGCAGAACUCUUGGUGAGUUCAAAGUGAGUUUACUGUUGCUCUGUGGGUAUUUAGUGAGUCACUGUAAACCUCUUUAAUUCUGUUACGUCAGUAUUGCAACUUACAUCCUGCUUUUCCAAUACCUUUCCUCAGCUAAUAAUAAUAGGAUUUUCCUGUAACAGAAAGGUACUAAAACACUUCCAGAGUAUUAGAUUUUUAGUUUGACUGCAGAAAAUGGGCACAAGAAUUACCAAAUGUGAGUAGGCACUCUCCAUCUCUAUCCCUGAUGUACAUUUGUUUUUAAGUGUAUGAACCUGAUGGAGAUUUGUUUUGAUGAGCUUUUGCCAGGUUGGCCUUUUGUUCCAACAGCAUUAUGUCUGAGUAAGUGAGUCAAAUAAACUGCCUUUGAGUUUUCCAGCAUGCUGUCUCUCCUCCAGAUGAAAAGCAGGUGAUUGUGAUUCAGUUCUGCCAAAUCUAUUCUGUUACAAAGUAUUUCUAGGUAAGUGGCUAUAGAGUAGAUCUGUACUGCUCUUGCAAGGAUCCUUGCUCAUGAAGGCUUCACACAGCCCCUCUGGGGACAGCAUUGAGGGGCUGUGUUCUGGGGGAACGGGCAGAUAAAGGUCAGGCCUGCUGAAGGGUGAUUUGGGUGCUUUGGGCUGCUCUGUCUGCAGCUCUCCACUGGGAAGUUACCUCCCUGUGCAGAGAGGUAGUGUGAACUUGCUGGAUUGGGCUCACCCACUGGAAGACAAGGAGACCUAAAGAGAAAUAAAAUGUCACCAGGGCUGACAAUGACACUCCUGUGUAAGGUCUGGUGAGAUGGCUGGAAACUCAGCUGUGCCUGAACUUCGUGGUUUUAAUAAAAGAAACUUGUUGAGAAAAUAUGCUCAAAGUGGAGAAUCCACAAAGAGCAGAAAGAGGAUGUGAUGGGAAAGGCAGGCUAAGAGCUUGACAAAACAUGUCCCUGUUGCAUCAGGCUCUGUGGCAGCCUCUCCCCUCCUCCCCCAAAGCAACUGUGUAAACUUAACCUCAAAUAUUGUCAGAGGAAAUGCUUAUCUGGGCACGAAGAGCUGUUCGUGCUCAGGCCUGCUGGUUCCAGAGCCUCAGAUUGCUGGCAAUAAUGAUGGUAUGUUCUGCAUCACAUAGACCUCUCCUGUUCUUUGGGAGCAGAGAACUCCCUUCCAGCAUCAGAUGAUGGCAGUUUGAUCCCAGCUGGAAAGGUGAGUGGCUUUCCCCAUCUCAGGGCUGAGUGUGGUGGGGCAAUGGCACAGUUACUGGAACUUGCCAAGCAGCAGAUGCACAACAGGAAAGCAGGAGACCUUUGCAGUGAUUUAUUGUUGCUAUUUCCUGUGGAACUGGCUUUGCAUACAGAAAACUAUCACUGUCAAUGCAGAGAAAUGGAAGGGUGCAGCUGCAUGUCAGUAGGUGCUUUUCUGCUGCAGUAAAGUAGCAGUAGGAAAAUAAAAACACCUACCUUACCUGUCUGAUUGUUAGUGGGGCCGAUAGGCCCUGAAAGUUAGGGUUAUUUAGUUUAGGGUUAAGGUUAUUUACUAGAUGUCCUGUUUUUUAAAAAUGGUAACAAGAAGUCUUAUUAUAGCCAUCAACGGGUAUGCAAUGAGGGCUGGGUACUCUUUUAAAAUGUGAGCUCUUUAUUCAGGCAAGGGCAGAGACUUGGUGUAAAAUGCCUCUUAUAUUGAUGCCUGUUUGUAUUGACAGGCUCCUUCAGCUCUCAUUUUCCCAGUUUACCCACUUGUGACACAGGGAAUGGUUUGUCUUUAUUUUUACAGAAUAGUGCAGUAGAUAGAUGGUCAAAAGGGGGGAGCAGGAGCUUGGUAUUGCUGCUUAGUUAAAUGUAUGUGCUUGCAAACAAAAUCAGCAAAUUGGCAUUUGGUCAAGAGAAGCAGCUUUCAAGUUUAGAGGGACGGACUUCUGAAUCCAGUAAGAAUAUUGAAUGCAACCCAGAUGGCAUCCUGGAGGGAAGUUUUGUGGCAUCAAUUAGCUUGUAGGUGACCGUGCUUCCAGCCAACUGUGAGUUAUCUGGCAGCUUGCCACUUGACUGCUAGUGAAAAUGCAAGAGCAAUGAGAUGAAAUAGAGUUCCUGAGAGACAAAGAGAAAGAUGUCUUCACUUGAGAAAAGAGGUUUGUGGAUACUGUUUCUUAAAUGAUUUAAGCUGUCUGCUUUUGUACAGCCACAUAGCUCAGCCUCAUUUAUAUACGUUCCUUUGUCACAUUUGUAUAUAUAAACCCAUUUAAAACUCCUCUCAAAUUUCUCAUGUAAUUCGUUCUCAGGAAGGAAUCUGCAAAUAAAAGGGCCACCAAUAGCUGGACCAGUGCCCACCAGUGCCCUUGCAGCUGUUGGAAGAAAUGUCAUAAGGAGGACUUGCCUGUUACCCUCUGGUCUAGUGGUGACUCAGCAGCCCAGCAGCUCACACACCUCCUGGAAUCCAGGCCAAGUAGCCCAGGCUGAUUGGGCUGAUAGUCCCAGGCUUAGACAGACCAGAAAAAAUAAUGUGUGGCCUGAAGAAGGACAUCUGUGUUCCUGUUCCCUGCUCAGUUCUUGUAUUUAGGGUUGUCUGGCCAUCUUUGCCUUUACAUCUGCAAACAGAGUGGUGACAAAAUCUUCUCUACAGACUUGUUUUGGCAGCACCAAACCCUGAGGAAAAAUGUGGUUUUCUUGCCUCUAAGAUCCUCCUGCAGAAAGGGGGCAGGCAGGUGGGCAGAACUUGGGAAAUAAAGAGCUGUUGGGUGAGUUCAGUCUCUGACUGCUUCCCUCCCAAGCAGGAAUAAUAGUUUUUGGUCACUGCUUACACUGACUGGAGAUAAAGCAGAGUUUUACAUGUGAAAUAUUUCAUGGGCAGUUACCAAACCAGAGCUGUCCAGCUCUCCCUUUUGGGUGUUUUACGAAGUCUUCAGUUGGAUCCCCAUCAUUCUAGUCCAAGUCACCACAGCAAGGUUUUAGGAUUUGUCAUGUCUUUUCCAUUUGACUUUUCCAUUUCCAUGACUUUUCCAUUUAUUGCAGUAUUCUGCAAUAAAUUAUACAGACCUUUGGUCUGGUGCCUCAUCUGAUUUCCUCCCAUUUAGUACAUCUCUGAGAUGAGCACUUGAAAAGCACAACCAAUCCAUGACACUAAUUGUGGCUAAUGAGUGUGUUUUGAAGCAUUCUCACAAGCAAAUGCAAACCCAGCCUAACAGUGUUUCAGGUUACUGCCUGAAGCUAUAGAUAUGUCAAUGCAUCCUGACCACCACCAAACAGGGCCUGUGCACAGAAUUUGCUUUCCUUCAGUGAGGAUGCUAAUUCAGAGCUCUCUCACACAAGCUGCCAUCUUCUGACUCUUAAUAGAGUUCCUAUAAAGAUGAUAAGCUUUGAGACCUACACUUUGUUUUCAGACUUGAUUGAAAUUAAUCAGCUGGUUUGAUAAGUAGAUAUUAACGAGAUGUGAUCACAGAAUCAUUGUGUCUUUAAGAUACCAGUCUGCAAACAGAGUUGACUUAACUGGAGUUCCAGCUCUGUCUCUGCCUGGAGUAACUUACAGAUAUAUGACAGACAUCUAGUGCUGAGUUCCACACUGGGAACAGAGGGGCCACUGCCUGAUCCUGGCUCCAUGUGAAUGCCAUACAGGAAAGAUACUUCCAAAAUACAAGACCUAUCAAUGCUCACAGCUCCAGAAUAACGAAAAGUUGGACCUGCUUCGUAGUUGCAGUUGGUUGCACUGUGCAGAGAGGGAAGCAAUGCAGAAAUCCCCAGGAAUACCUGUGAAGCUGCUAGAUUGCCAAUGAGGGCAGAUUUAUUGCUUUGUUGUGGAAAGUACUGGUAAGUACUGGGCUUAAGGUCACUAUAAGAAAUGCAGUUUAUAAUUAGAGGAAGGUGAUCAGGUUUUGGCAUGGAAUAUUAAUUGGUUUACAUGGUGCUGCACCUAUCGCUUUAUUAUUCAUCUUCUGUAAACCACAGACAUUUUUCUUCCUCUAAUUUGCUUUCAUGUAUUAUCUUCAUAAUAGAUAUUUUUG